AUUAAAAUUUUCUUUGUAUGUUAAGCUAUGCUAUUUAAUUUAUUUUUUGUUAAUCGUUGAGAUCUGUGUUGUUUUCUUAGCUGUGAAUUUGUUCUACAUGUUAGUUUAUGCGUAAAGUUUUAAUAAUAAAUUUUAAAAAAGAAACUCUCAGUAGAAAAUAUUAGAAAUAUAGUAAUUUUUAUCUAGGAAAUUUUUUAGAAGUGGAAAAUGGCGUGCCAGCAGCCGCGGUUAUACGCCUGCUUCAAGUUAAGAAUUUUUUACAAAAUUAUGUUUUAUAAAAUUAAUCGAUUUAAAAAAUAUUAUUAGGUAGAAUUUUAAUAUUUUUGGAAGACUUUUAUGUAAAACAAAAGAAUUACAUUUAUGGACCAGGAUUAGAUACCCUGUUACUUUUAACUAUAAAAUUUUGGAAUAGUAAUAAUAAUGAAAUUUAACGGAUUUGGCGGCAAGAUAGCUAUUUAGAGGAACCUGCCCUGUAAACGAUGAACCACGAAUAACAUUACUUUUAUUUGUAAUCAGUUUGUAUAUCGCUGUUGUCAGUUAGUUUCUUUAGAAAACUUUCUAUUAUAAAAAAAUUAAAGACUUCAAGUAAAGGUGCAGCUAAUAUAAAAGUUAGAGGUGGGUUACAUUAUAUGGAUUAAUACGGAUAAAGUUUUUGAAAUAACUUUUGAAGGUGGAUUUAAUAGUAAAGUUUAUAAAAACUUGAUUAAGGCUCUUUCUUGUGUACACACCGCCCGUCGCUCUCCUUUUUAAAUGAGAUAAGUCGUAACAAGGUAAGUGUAAUGGAAAUUGUACUUGA
rnacentral:ncRNA from 1 species